AGGGGUGUAGCACAAUUGGUGGUGCAGCGGUCUCCAAAACCGAAGGUUAGAAGUUCGAGUCUUCUCAUCCCUG
rnacentral:tRNA from 1 species